UUAGAAACUAGUUGAAGUGAUUAAUUUUACAGGUCAUUUUAAUUUCAGAGUAAACUGAACAGUAGACACGAUGCUCUAAGACAUUUUUUGAUUAAUUCAUUGUAUUAGGUUUUUAAUUAUCACUGAUUUGAAAAGAAACAUCCAUGAAGCUGCAAUUAAAAUCUUCAAUCAAUUUACUUGGAGCACUUCCUGUCGUACAGACUGUGCAGCGUAUCGUGACAGAUAAGACAAGAAGUAAAAAAGCAGAGAAGUAGGAGGAAAAAGAGCUAAAGAGAAACUUGACAAAAGAGAGCGAGAGCUGCAGAGAUAGGACGAGAGAAAGGGAGGAAAGGUUAAGAGACACUCAGACAGAGCAGGUAGAGAGAGGAAGAGAGCGCACAGCAGAAAGCUCAAAGAGAAGUGAGGCUAAAGGUUGAGGGAAAGGUUCGUGGAAACAGGAACAAAAUUAAGAAAGUAAAAGAACUCAACAGGCUCACUGAUGAUCCACCAUCUUUGAGAAACUAAAUCAGACCUGCGGAAGAGCAAGACUAAUUCGUCACCAUGAUAAAGUCGUGGAGUCGCAUCUGCCUCUUCGUUCUAGCAAUUUCUUCAAUUUCCAGAGGAAAAAAUGAAACAACUGAGGCACAACCAAAAAAUUACCCUGAUACGAAUCAAGGUUUGACACCUUCACCUGCUGCUAACAGGGAAGGGACCCAGCCCAAACUUCCCUCUCCAUCUUCUCAGAAUCCUACAUCUGUCAAUACAGCAAAUCAUAUGAAUCAAACACCAACAAAAAAAGAUGAUAAUGAAACCUUUGCUACAACAACAAGGGGAACAGUUGGCAUCACAGAAGCAAAUGUUACAACCUCAGCGAGCACAAGCAAGGACCCUGGGCCUCGUGUUACAGCUUCUACGACAACGUCAAGCACCUCACCAAAACCAGCCACGGCCUCUUCUUCUUCCUGGGGUUAUGUGAUCCUGGCCUUUAUCAUCCUGGUUAUCAUUAUUCUGUGUGUCAUCCUCUGCUUACUCCGGAGGGCCUCCAGGAUGUACUCAUUUGACCUUCAGCGCCCUAAUCCUGUCAACAACCUUAAUGAACCCACAGGGACGUUUGAACCAGUCUACUUGGAUGACCUAGACCAACCAGCCCCUAAAGACCACCUGACUAGUGAUGACCUUUCGACUCCUCCAGUGGCCAAUGGCACAAGUCUACAGUCAGAAGAAAAGUGCUCCAAUGGAGAGAGUGCUCCACAGGAACAGCCAGAAACAGAUGGGAUGGAAACAUCACCCCCCAAUAACAGCAGCCCCUCAUCGGGUGAUGAUAUAUCGGACAAGUCACCCAGCCCACUGAGCAGUACCAACCUGUUCUUCGAUGCUACUGGGGAUCUGCCGCUGAAUGAGAACAACAACAACCCAUCGUGCUCCAGUGGUCCCUUUGUUGAAAUAAACCUGGACGAGCCGGCGUCCUCUGAUCAGCUCCUCACCUCUCCUCAAGCUACUUCGUCCGUCCUCCCUUUCACUCCUUUCACUCCUUUCACUCCUUUCUCCUUCUCCUCAUCAUCAUCCUCAUCCUCAUCCUCAUCCUUAUCUUCCUAG
ensembl:lncRNA probable serine/threonine-protein kinase dyrk2